rnacentral:misc_RNA from 1 species
AUUGAAAGCGACCAACCGGAAGUAGAGAGGGGACGAUGGAGCGCCAAGCUGGACUACAUGCUGUCCAUGAUCGGCUACUGUGUGGGACUGGGUAACAUCUGGCGAUUUCCAUACUUGUGUAUGAGAAAUGGAGGGGGAGCCUUCCUGAUCCCCUUCCUCUUCUUCCUGCUGGCUGCCGGUCUGCCGUUGUACUUUAUGGAGGUGUCGCUGGGACAGUUUACAGGGAGGGGCUGCUUUCAUGUCUGGGAGGCUAGUCCUAUAUUUAAAGGUAUCGGGGUCGGUAUGUUCAAUGUCCUCUUUGUCGUUACCUUGUACUACAACAUCAUCAACACCUGGACACUUUACUACCUUGGCAGCUCUUUCAUCUCGCCGCUUCCGUGGACGGGAUGCGACAAUGACUGGAACACACCGAGAUGUUUCCACAGAUCGUCAAUCAUGACCCAGCGGAUCGACAACGACACUGGUUACGACUUAUUCAACGCGUCGUCUACGAUCUUACAAGAUCAGAAUACGACCGUAUCAUCUGUCAUCAAGGCUUCAUCAAACAGCACCACGAGUCAGGAGGAGUUCUGGUUCCACCGAGUGCUGACAAUAUCCCGGGGUCUGGAUGAGGUGGGGGGUCUGAACUGGCAGCUCACCCUCUGUUUCCUCGGCGCCUGGCUGGUGGUUUUCCUGUGUCUUAUAAAGGGAGUUAAAUCACUCGGAAAGGUUGUGUAUGUGACCGCCACCCUGCCUUACCUACUUCUAGCAGUGAUCCUCAUCAAGGGCCUGACACUUCCGGGAGCAGUAGAUGGUAUCCUGUUCUACAUCCGCCCGGACUUCAAUAAACUUGCCAACGUACAGGUGUGGUUAGAAGCUGGACUGCAGGUGUUUUACUCACUAGGGCCGGGAUGGGGUCCCCUCAUUACCAUGGCUAGUUACAAUAAAUUCCGUAACAAUUGUUACAGGGACGCCGUGACUCUGACGUUUAUAAGCGAGGGCACCAGUAUAUUUGGGGGGUUUGCCAUCUUUACUAUCGUCGGAUUUAUGGCUCACCAAGCGGGAAAACCAGUCGAUGAAGUGGUGCAAGCGGGUCCGGGUCUGGCUUACCUGGUGUACCCUGAGGCGCUGUCCCAAUUACCAUUCCCGAAUAUGUGGGCGGUAGUGUUCUUCGUCAUGCUUUUUACGGUCGGGUUAGAUAGUCAGUUUGCGACAGUGGAAGCAUGUAUGACGGCAGUCAGCGAUAUUGUACCGAGCAUGCGCAGACGCAAGGCACUCCUUGCUUUUCUAACUUGCUCAUUUUUCGUUCUCACUGGAUUGAUACUGUGUACAGAAUGUGGACUCUAUAUAUUCCAACUUUUAGACUGGUACAUCGCUGCCUUCAGUCUCCCCGUCUUCGCUUUGCUGGAAUGCAUCGUGUUCGGAUGGAUUUAUGGGGCUGACAAUUUGUCACGUGAUAUAGAGAUGAUGCUGGGGAGAGGAGUACCUGUUUAUAUGAGGAUCAUGUGGUGUAUUGUCACACCUGUGAUCUUAACGUUGCUGCUUAUAUCCACCAUAUAUACAUAUCGUCCACCAAUGGUCGGUGAUUACACAUACCCGUUGUAUGCCAGAGCCAUUGGAUGGCUAGUCGCAGCUCUUCCUCUUAUUCCUAUACCUGUCUGUGCUUUACAUGCUGUGAGAAAAUCCCCAGGAAACACGUGGAUCCAGAGAUUUUACUCCUCCUUCCAACCCUCUGACAAAUGGAAACCAAUCUCAGCGAGAGCGUGCGAGAAAUACAAAGUGGAUAACAAACUUUUCAGGGGAGGCUUUAAGGCAGUAGUCCUGCGGAAUCUUUUGGGGAAAAAUUCAUAAGCCAAUUAUAGAAAUAGCAAAUACUUAGCUGUUUUUCUGUGUUCAAGUUAGAUUUUAUACUACUUUUUAUAAAUUUUUACCGGUUACCUUGAUAUUCUAUGUUAACGGAAUUAAACAUUUGACAUUAAUUAAUGUUAGAUGUGUAAUUAGCUCUCAAUAUUUGAGAAAUUUAUUAGGCUUAUUUAUGUUUUCAUCUCAAAAUGUAAUACUGCUAUUAGUUUAAAUAAAAUGUCAAUUCUG